CCUACGGGGUGCAGCAGUGAGGAAUAUUGGUCAAUGGACGAGAGUCUGAACCAGCCAAGUAGCGUGAAGGAUGACUGCCCUAUGGGUUGUAAACUUCUUUUAUAUGGGAAUAAAAUGUUCCACGUGUGGGAUUUUGUAUGUACCAUAUGAAUAAGGAUCGGCUAACUCCGUGCCAGCAGCCGCGGUAAUACGGAGGAUCCGAGCGUUAUCCGGAUUUAUUGGGUUUAAAGGGAGCGUAGGUGGAUUGUUAAGUCAGUUGUGAAAGUUUGCGGCUCAACCGUAAAAUUGCAGUUGAAACUGGCAGUCUUGAGUACAGUAGAGGUGGGCGGAAUUCGUGGUGUAGCGGUGAAAUGCUUAGAUAUCACGAAGAACUCCGAUUGCGAAGGCAGUUCACUGGACUGCAACUGACACUGAGGCUCGAAAGUGUGGGUAUCAAACAGGACUAGAUACCCCAGUAGUC
rnacentral:rRNA from 1 species